CAGCCGCCACGGUAAUACGUAGGGUGCAAGCGUUAAUCGGAAUUACUGGGCGUAAAGCGUGCGCAGGCGGUGUUGUAAGACUGAUGUGAAAUCCCCGGGCUCAACCUGGGAACUGCAUUGGUGACUGCAACGCUGGAGUGCGGCAGAGGGGGAUGGAAUUCCGCGUGUAGCAGUGAAAUGCGUAGAUAUGCGGAGGAACACCGAUGGCGAAGGCAAUCCCCUGGGCCUGCACUGACGCUCAUGCACGAAAGCGUGGGGAGCAAACAGGAUUAGAUACCCCCGUAGUCCCUGUCUCUUAUAC
rnacentral:rRNA from 1 species